rnacentral:tRNA from 1 species
GAGGGUGUUAUAAGACUU